UUCCUCUUAGAAAAGGAGGUAAGGCCUGCUCACUGAAUAUAUUUAAAGAGCCGCAGUAUCCUAACUGUGCUAAGGUAGCAUAAUCAUUAGUCUUUUAAUUGGAGACUGGUAUGAAUGGCUAAACGAGAAAUCGACUUUUUUUGUUAUAAAAAUUGAAUUUAAUUUUUUAGUGAAAAAGCUGAAAUUUUUCAGAAAGACGAGAAGACCCUAUAGAGUUUUAUAUCUCAAAAUACUUUAUUUAAAUAGAUUUUUUCAAAUAAAAUAUAAACAGGUAUUUUGUUGGGGCGACAUUAAGAUAAGAAAAACUCUUUAUUUUAUAAAUUUUUAUAAAAAUAUAUUUGAUCCUCUAAAAGAGAUCAAAAGAAAAAAUUACCUUAGGGAUAACAGCGUAAUCUUUUUUGAGAGUUCUAAUCGACAAAAAGGUUUGCGACCUCGAUGUUGGACUAAAAUUUAGGCAGGGUGCAGCAGUUCUGCUUUAAGGUCUGUUCGACCUAUAAUAUUUUACACGAUCUGAGUUCAGACCG
rnacentral:rRNA from 1 species